rnacentral:rRNA from 1 species
UACGUAGGGCGCAAGCGUUGUCCGGAAUUAUUGGGCGUAAAGAGCUCGUAGGCGGCUUGUCGCGUCGGAUGUGAAAGCCCGGGGCUUAACCCCGGGUCUGCAUUCGAUACGGGCAGGCUGGAGUGUAGUAGGGGAGAUCGGAAUUCCUGGUGUAGCGGUGAAAUGCGCAGAUAUCAGGAGGAACACCGGUGGCGAAGGCGGAUCUCUGGGCCAUUACUGACGCUGAGGAGCGAAAGCGUGGGGAGCGAACAGG